GCCUUCGGGCAUAUGAUAAACUUGGAACGAUACAGAGAAGAUUAGCAUGGCCCCUGCGCAAGGAUGACACGCUUCGUUCGAGAAAUGGUUCCACAAUUUU
rfam:Helicosporidium sp. ATCC 50920 contig-3748, whole genome shotgun sequence.